GAGAUUAAGCAUAGAUGGCGGGAGUACUUCGACAAGCUGUUCAAUGGGGAGAAUGAGAGUUCUACCAUUGAACUGAAUGACUCCUUUAAUGAGACCAGCAUGCGUUUUGUGCGGCGCAUCCAGGAGUCUGAGGUGAAGGAGGCUUUAAAAAGGAUGAAAGGAGGCAAGGCGAUGGGCCCUGAUUGUAUCCCCAUUGAGGUGUGGAAAGGUCUCGAGGACAUAGCGAUAGUAUGGCUAACCAAGCUUUUCAACCUCAUUUUUCGGGCAAACAAGAUGCCAGAAGAAUGGAGACGGAGUAUAUUAGUACCAAUCUUCAAGAACAAGGGGGAUGUUCAGAGUUGUACUAAUUACCGUGGAAUUAAGCUGAUGAGCCGUACAAUGAAGCUAUGGGAGAGAGUCAUUGAGCACCGCUGA
rnacentral:rRNA from 1 species